UACGGAGGGGGCCAGCGUUGUUCGGAAUUAUUGGGCGUAAAGGGCGCGUAGGCGGCCGGAUAAGUCUGAUGUGAAAUCCCACGGCUCAACCGUGGAACUGCAUCUGAAACUGUUCGGCUCGAGUCCGGGAGAGGGUAGUGGAAUUCCCAGUGUAGCGGUGAAAUGCGUAGAUAUCAGGAAGAACACCCGUGGCGAAGGCGGCUCUCUGGGACGGUACUGACGCUGAGACGCGAAAGCGUGGGGAGCGAACAGG
rnacentral:rRNA from 1 species